ACUCCAAAACAUGAGUGUGGGCCGAGACGGAACGAGCUUCAGUGACUUUAGUGGGGAAAAGUUACCGUAACUUUUAUCUAACAUCCACCAUAAGAUCAAUCUAGGUUUCACAUAAAAGCCACGUAGUUUUCUCUUUUUCAUAAAAAACAUAUGUUUUGUUUUGUUUUGUUUCGGGUCAAAUGGAAACAUGGAAGGGGAAGACCGGUCCAUUCUUCUCACGCCGCCGCCACCAUUAAAUAGAAAUAUUGAAUGGUCUCAUCUCGUGUCAUCAUUAUGUUCUCCGGCACCAUCCCGUCUCUUAUUGUCGCCACCAACGUGCUCGUACUCGCCAUCGUCGUUUCUUUUCGCCGCCACCAACAAUGGAGUUAAUUUCAAGGCCGCUCGAAUGUGCAUGUUGUUGCUGCCAUGCCGGUGGGUCUAAAUUCACGGUUGUUUUUUAUAUUAUAUUGUUUUGAUGAAGCUGAUGAGCACGUGAAAAUUGAAUAUUGAACUUACUACAUUAUUUUUGAUGUGUUAUUAUUUUAAAAAAGCUUCUAAGCACAUGUCUUCACAACUCUUUCCGCAAGGAUGUUCACAAUAGAUGCAAAUAUACAUCAAGGUAACUCUGCAAAAUUAGAUUAUUAGAAUUAUAGAAUAAUAUGACAUGUGUAAUUUAGUUAGAGGACAUGAUGAAUUGUACAUCUCUUGUGGCAUUAUUUUUUAUCAGUGUAAUUGUGUAACAUUUCCUAUACUGUCAUUUUGUAAUAUUUCUUGUACGGUCAUUUUAUUACAUUUUUGGAUAUAAUGAAAUAAGGUCAUUUGCUUCA